AAAAAAGCUAGCCAUGAAAAAUAAUGAACCUCGUUCAAGUUCUUCUUGUGCAGCUUGUAAGUUCUUGAAGAGAAGAUGCACUACCACAUGCCAAUUUGCACCAUAUUUCCGAUCGGACGAGCCGAAGAAGUUUGCUAAUGUACACAAGGUGUUUGGAGCUAGCAACGUGAUCAAGAUCCUGAAUGAAGUGCCACAAGACCAGCGAGAGGACACUGUCAACUCGCUAGUCUACGAGGCUGAGGUGAGACUAAGAGACCCGGUUUACGGUUGCAUUGGAGCUAUAGCAUCUUUGCAGAGGAAGAUGGUGGAGCUACAACAUGAUCUGAUGGUUACUAAAGCACAUCUUGCUUACUAUGAAACUAAGCCCAGUACCACAACUUCUAAUUGUUCACUCUUGGAUUAUGAUCCUAACCCUUCUUUUUAUGUGGACACUUCUGCUGGAUUCAUGGAUACCUUCACCCA
rnacentral:misc_RNA from 1 species